GACGAACGCUGGCGGCGUGCUUAACACAUGCAAGUCGAACGGGAUAAUUUGAGAGCUUGCUCUUAGAGAAUCUAGUGGCAAACGGGUGAGUAACACGUAGACAACCUGCCGACAGGAUGGGGACAACAUUCCGAAAGGAAUGCUAAUACCGAAUGAAGCGGAGGAGAGGCAUCUCUCCUCCGUGAAAGAUGGCCUCUGAAUAUGCUAUCACCUGUCGAUGGGUCUGCGUCUGAUUAGCUAGUUGGUGAGGUAACGGCUCACCAAGGCGACGAUCAGUAGCCGGUCUGAGAGGAUGAACGGCCACAUUGGGACUGAGACACGGCCCAGACUCCUACGGGAGGCAGCAGUGGGGAAUCGUCCGCAAUGGGCGCAAGCCUGACGGAGCAACGCCGCGUGAGUGAAGAAGGUCUUCGGAUCGUAAAGCUCUGUUGACGGGGACGAACGUGCGAAGGGUGAAUAAUCCUUUGUAAUGACGGUACCUGUCGAGGAAGCCACGGCUAACUACGUG
rnacentral:rRNA from 1 species